rnacentral:rRNA from 1 species
AACGAACGCUGGCGGCGCGCUUAAUACAUGCAAGUCGAACGAGAAGGUGUAGCAAUACACUUGUAAAGUGGCGAACGGGUGAGGAAUACAUGGGUAACCUACCCUCGAGUGGGGAACAACCAGCCGAAAGGUUGGCUAAUACCGCGUACGCUUCCGGGUCUUCGGAUUCGGAAGGAAAGUCAUACCGUGGGUAUGACGCUCAAGGAUGGGCUCAUGUCCUAUCAGCUUGUUGGUAGGGUAACGGCCACCAAGGCUCCGACGGGUAGCUGGUCUGAGAGGACGAUCAGCCACACUGGCACUGCGACACGGGCCAGACUCCUACGGGAGGCAGCAGUAAGGAAUAUUGCGCAAUGGGCGAAAGCCUGACGCAGCGACGCCGCGUGGGGAUGAAGGUCUUCGGAUUGUAAACCCCUUUCGGGAGGGAAAAUGGAACGAGCAAUCGUUCGGAUGGUACCUCCAGAAGCAGCCACGGCUAACUUCGUGCCAGCCGCCGC